rnacentral:rRNA from 1 species
GAACGUGAAAGNGAGCAAUCCUGAGUAAAGUGGCGUACGGGUGAGUAACGCGUAGGUAAUCUACCCCAGAGUCUGGAAUAACCUGCCGAAAGGCGGGCUAAUACUGGAUAGAGCGACGGAAUCCGUAAUUGGGUUUUUCGGGAAAGGGAGGGAGCAAUCCCCCUUGCUUUGGGAUGAGCCUGCGUCCCAUCAGCUAGUUGGUAAGGUAACGGCUUACCAAGGCGAUGACGGGUAGCUGGUCUGAGAGGAUGAUCAGCCACACUGGAACUGAAACACGGUCCAGACUCCUACGGGAGGCAGCAGUGGGGAAUCUUGCGCAAUGGACGAAAGUCUGACGCAGCCACGCCGCGUGAGUGAAGAAGGCCUUCGGGUUGUAAAGCUCUGUCGCCCGGGACGAAAAUUUUUGAGGUUAACAGCCUCAGAAACUGACGGUACCGGGAGAGGAAGCACCGGCUAACUCUGUG